rnacentral:rRNA from 1 species
GAUGAACGCUGGCGGCGCGCCUAAUACAUGCAAGUCGAGCGAACAGACGAGGAGCUUGCUCCUCUGACGUUAGCGGCGGACGUGUGAGUAACACGUGGAUAACCUACCUAUAAGACUGGGAUAACUUCGGGAAACCGGAGCUAAUACCGGAUAAUAUAUUGAACCGCAUGGUUCAAUAGUGAAAGACGGUUUUGCUGUCACUUAUAGAUGGAUCCGCGCCGCAUUAGCUAGUUGGUAAGGUAACGGCUUACCAAGGCAACGAUGCGUAGCCGACCUGAGCGGGUGCUCGGCCACACUAGAACUGAGACACGGUCCAGACUCCUACGGGAGGCAGCCGUAGGGAAUCAUCCGCCAUGGGCGAAAGCUUGACGGAGCAACGCCGCGUGAGUGAUGAAGGUCUUCGGAUCGUAAAACUCUGUUAUUAGGGAAGAACAAAUGUGUAAGUCACUAUGCACGUCUUGACGGUACCUAGUCAGAAAGCCACGGCUAACUACGUG